rnacentral:rRNA from 1 species
AUUGAACGCUGGCGGCAGGCCUAACACAUGCAAGUCGAGCGGAUGAAGGGAGCUUGCUCCUGGAUUCAGCGGCGGUCGGGUGAGUAAUGCCUAGGAAUCUGCCUGGUAGUGGGGGAUAACGUCCGGAAACGGGCGCUAAUACCGCAUACGUCCUGAGGGAGAAAGUGGGGGAUCUUCGGACCUCACGCUAUCAGAUGAGCCUAGGUCGGAUUAGCUAGUUGGUGGGGUAAAGGCCUACCAAGGCGACGAUCCGUAACUGGUCUGAGAGGAUGUUCAGUCACACUGGAACUGAGACACGGUCCAGACUCCUACGGGAGGCAGCAGUGGGGAAUAUUGGACAAUGGGCGAAAGCCUGAUCCAGCCAUGCCGCGUGUGUGAAGAAGGUCUUCGGAUUGUAAAGCACUUUAAGUUGGGAGGAAGGGCAGUAAGUUAAUACCUUGCUGUUUUGACGUUACCAACAGAAUAAGCACCGGCUAACUUCGUG